UACGGGGGGGGCAAGCGUUGUUCGGAAUUACUGGGCGUAAAGGGCUCGUAGGCGGCCAACUAAGUCGGAUGUGAAAUCCCCAGGCUCAACCUGGGAACUGCAUCCGAUACUGGAUGGCUUGAAUUCGGGAGAGGGAUGUGGAAUUCCAGGUGUAGCGGUGAAAUGCGUAGAUAUCUGGAGGAACACCGGUGGCGAAGGCGGCAUCCUGGACCGACAUUGACGCUGAGGCGCGAAAGCCAGGGGAGCAAACGGG
rnacentral:rRNA from 1 species